UGGAUUUGACAUCCCGGGAAUCUUAUGGAAACAUAAGAGUGCCCUUCGGGGAACCUGGUGACAGGUGCUGCAUGGCUGUCGUCAGCUCGUGUCGUGAGAUGUUGGGUUAAGUCCCGCAACGAGCGCAACCCUUAUCUUUAGUUACCAUCAUUCAGUUGGGGACUCUAAAGAUACUGCCCCGGUUAACGGGGAGGAAGGUGGGGAUGACGUCAAGUCCUCAUGGCCUUUAUGUCCAGGGCUACACACGUGCUACAAUGGGCUGUACAAAGGGUCGCGAACCCGCGAGGGUAAGCCAAUCCCAUAAAGCAGCUCGUAGUUCGAAUUGGAGUCUGCAACUCGACUCCAUGAAGC
rnacentral:rRNA from 1 species